UGCUUCUGCUGGUGGUAACUUGAUACGGU
rnacentral:sRNA from 1 species